CUACGUGCCAGCAGCCGCGGUAAUACGUAGGGUGCGAGCGUUAAUCGGAAUUACUGGGCGUAAAGCGAGCGCAGACGGUUACUUAAGCAGGAUGUGAAAUCCCCGGGCUCAACCUGGGAACUGCGUUSUGAACUGGGUGACUAGAGUGUGUCAGAGGGAGGUAGAAUUCCACGUGUAGCAGUGAAAUGCGUAGAGAUGUGGAGGAAUACCGAUGGCGAAGGCAGCCUCCUGGGAUAACACUGACGUUCAUGCUCGAAAGCGUGGGUAGCAAACAGGAUUAGAUACCCUGGUAGUCCACGCCCUAAACGAUGUCAAUUAGCUGUUGGGCAACUUGAUUGCUUAGUAGCGUAGCUAACGCGUGAAAUUGACCGCCUGGGGAGUACGGUCGCAAGAUUAAAACUCAAAGGAAUUGACGGGGACCCGCACAAGCGGUGGAUGAUGUGGAUUAAUUCGAUGCAACGCGAAGAACCUUACCUGGUCUUGACAUCC
rnacentral:rRNA from 1 species